GACGAACUGUCCUACCGUUGUUCGGAAUCACUGGGCUUAAAGGGCGCGUAGGCGGUCCGACAAGUCGGGGGUGAAAUCCUGCAGCUUAACUGCAGAAGUGCCUUCGAUACUGUCGGUCUUGAGGGAGAUAGGGGUGUGCGGAACUUCCAGUGGAGCGGUGAAAUGCGUAGAUAUUGGGAGGAACACCGGUGGCGAAGGCGGCCCCCUGGACCGGUACUGACGCUGAGGCGCGAAAGCGUGGGUAGCAAACGGG
rnacentral:rRNA from 1 species